GUCGUGCUUGAAGUCCAGGACCAUUUUCCGUCUCUUAAGUUUAUUGGGCAAACCUUCCCCACCCAUAAGUUUAGUUUCAUUGUAUUUGUGCUUUCUCUUGUUAAGUUUAUCGAAGUACAGAUCCGGCGCUCGCGUUCAGCUUACUAUCUGCGUUGCCCUCAUUGCUGAUUAAAAUUCACGGUUCAAUGGUUGUAAAAUUUGCUCAGUUUGAUUCAUUUGACCAUACAUUGUUGUUUUUAGUCUCAAUUUCAUUUUCAUCAAGUUUACAUUUAUUGAUUAGUGAACAACUGACAAAUGUCGUUUUUCUUGUUACUAGAUCCUCUUUUACCCAACUUCUUCCAGUUUUCCCCAAUUUUCUCUCCCCACCUUUCCUUGCUCCCACUGUGAAUUUCCAUGGCGUUCUGGCCAUCUCCGGCGUCGAACGGGGUCGAGCAACAUCUGAUCACCGGCGGUUUCAAAUCGCCGGCCCGCCGCAGUGGUAGGAUGAGAGGCAUCACCCCAUGGUGACAUCCUCUGUCCAGUACCCAACUUCUUUUGCUAAACCUUUCCCUAGGUUUUCAUUUGUUUUAAGUUUUCGGUCCGACCGGAAAAAUUUCACAGGCCAACCUUGGUAACCAGCGAAGCGACCACAGGCCGAGACUCGAGGUGUGUUUCUCCCAAUUUUAUGAUGUAGAUAUAUAUACAUAUAUACAUAUUUUUCCCAUUUCAAGAAAGGCUAAGGUCUCACAGUGUGAACCUUGAACUCAUGGUCGACCAAACCCUUCUUUUUCAGUCUCAGAUGACGAUGAUGAUUAUUAUUAUUGUUGUUGUUAUAUAUAUGGUUGAAAGGGGCUCACCAAGAUCUCUCUCUCUCUGUCUCUUUCUUGCAUUUUACUAUUGCGUGACGGUUUUCUUGGUUUUCAACCAUGGGGUUGUUGUGAAGGAUGAGAUGCAGAGAACGAAUCUCAAACUGGACAAUCUUAGGGAGAAGAUCAAGGAGAACCAUUCUUUGAAAGGACAAUGACGAAUUCAAUUCUCUUUGUGGCUUCAGUUAUAUCAUGUAAUUGUUUGUGUUAAUCUACAUGCAUGGUAUUGUCUGAUCUUCAGUUCUAACAAAAGCUUAUACGGUCCUGAAUACUGUCACGUAGACAAUCUUUCUUUCUGCGGUUGGACUUGUAGGCCCUGAUAAACUAAAGCUUGGUGAUUUAGGUGGAGUUAGUAAAGAUAACUACUUGAUAUUGGACACUUUGCCAUCUGAAUAUGAUUCUCGUGCGAAGGCGAUGGAGGUGGACGAAAAACCGACAGAAGAUUACAGUGACAUAGGAAGACUAGAGAAGCAAGUAAAUCAGUUUUUAUCAAUCCAAUAACUUGUUGUGGCAAUUGCACUGUCUAUGACUCACAUGGAAUGAUGGAACCACCUGUGGUUAUUCUUCUCUAUGGACCUCUCGAAACUGGGAAAACACUCAUGGCACGUGCUUGUGCAGCUCAAACAAAUGCUACAUUUCUUAAGCUACGAGGUCCACAGGUUGUGCAGAUUGUGGGUUCAUUUUGUUUGUAGGCACACAGUGCAUAAACUACUCUACUCGUCAAAUCUGCACAGCAAAGGCACAGUGUCAUGGUCAUUUGUUGUGCAGCGGUAAUUUCUUCCAAGCCAUCAAACAUGGCUAUGAUCUGGGAAAAAUUCUUGCGUUCGAAGUCAGAACAGAUGAGACGUUCCAUGGUGGUUAUGUCAAUGGAGCUGAUUCUUUGAACCUGGUAGGCCUUAUCUUAUCAGGAAGCCUGGCGAGUGAUGUGCAUCAUGAUGUUUCAAGAAAAAAAAAAACAUGCAUACACUUGAAAAGAAAUACCAUGUAAAUAUUUGCAAGGGGAAGUUAUGUAGGGGGGAAGUCAGGACCGACCCUUUUCGUGAAAAAAGUGCACCACUCAAGGCAAAUUUAAUAAUUAUCACUCCUGCCCAAGCUAAUGAACACUACCAUGCUCUUUUCUGAAGGGUUUCAGACUUUCACUCCUGGCUUGCAUACACUAGAAAGGCGACUAUGGAGAUUGCAGCUAUGUUGGAAACUUCAAUGAGAACAAGUGCAAUACAGGUUGUGGUGGUCUUUCACAGAGAUAUUGAAAAAUGUGGUACUUCAUAAUCUGAAAAUUGGAAACUGACACAUUCUAUGUCAGGUAUCAUGUUCAUCGUGCUUAGUUGUGUCCAGCUAGGAAUGUCCCCUGGCCGAGAGAGACGUUUUCGACAUCUCCCACCUGAAAACCUGGUGCAUACCCACACCAUCCAUCCAUCAUUCGCAUUGCUCGUUAAUUCAGGUCAUAUGUAGAAUUUUGAUGUUGGUUGUUUCAAUUAAGCUAGACUUACCAUUGGAAACUGCAUUUUUUGUUCACUUUUAAGAGAUUCUUGGUGGAUAGAUGCAUGGGCUGAAUUUCUAUGCAUUAUUGAAACGGAAAACUUAUGAUUGAAACGGAAAACUUGCUGCUCCAAUAGCAGCAAUGGAUGACUUGUAUA